CCUGACUGCUAUCGGAUUGGUACUAAGCCAUGUGAGUCAUUGUAGCAAUACAAGGCAGACGGCUCAGUAACACGUAGUCAAUCUACCCUAUGGACGGGGAUAACCUCGGGAAACUGAGGAUAAAACCCGAUAGAUCAUAGUGCCUGGAAUGGCUUAUGGUCCAAAUGAUUCGUCGCCGUAGGAUGGGACUGCGGCCUAUCAGCUUGUUGGUGAGGUAAUGGCCCACCAAGGCUAUUACAGGUACGGGCUCUGAGAGGAGAAGCCCGGAGAUGGGUAUUGAGACACGGACCCAGGCCCUAUGGGGCGCAGCAGGCGAGAAACCUUUGCAAUGUGCGCAAGCACGACAAGGUUAAUCCGAGUGUUUCCUGCUAAAGGAAUCUUUUGUUAGUUCUAAAACCACUGAUGAAUAAGGGGUGGGCAAGUUCUGGUGUCAGCCGCCGCGGUAAAACCAGCACCUCAAGUGGUCAGGAUGAUUAUUGGGCCUAAAGCAUCCGUAGCCUGUUCCAUAAGUUUUCGGUUAAAUCCAUUAGCUCAACUAAUGGGCCGCCGAAAAUACUGUGGAACUAGGGAGUGGGAGAGGUAGACGGUACUCGGUAGGAAGGGGUAAAA
rnacentral:rRNA from 1 species